rnacentral:rRNA from 1 species
AACGAACGCUGGCGGCAUGCCUAACACAUGCAAGUCGAACGAUCCCUUCGGGGAUAGUGGCGCACGGGUGCGUAACGCGUGGGAAUCUGCCCUUGGCUUCGGAAUAACAGUUAGAAAUGACUGCUAAUACCGGAUGAUGUCUUCGGACCAAAGAUUUAUCGGCCAGGGAUGAGCCCGCGUAGGAUUAGGUAGUUGGUGAGGUAAAGGCUCACCAAGCCGACGAUCCUUAGCUGGUCUGAGAGGAUGAUCAGCCACACUGGGACUGAGACACGGCCCAGACUCCUACGGGAGGCAGCAGUGGGGAAUAUUGGACAAUGGGCGCAAGCUUGAUCCAGCAAUGCCGCGUGAGUGAUGAAGGCCUUCGGGUCGUAAAGCUCUUUUACCAGGGAUGAUAAUGACAGUACCUGGAGAAUAAGCUCCGGCUAACUCCGUGCCAGCCGCCGCCGUAA